UACAGAGUCUGCGAGCGUUAUUCGGAUUCACUGGGAGUAAAGGGUGCGCAGGCGGCCAAGUGUGUGAGGCGUGAAAGCCCGGGGCUUAACCCCGGAAUUGCACCUCAAACUACAUGGCUAGAGCAUUGGAGAGGGAAGCGGAAUUCACGGUGUAGCAGUGAAAUGCGUAGAUAUCGUGAGGAACACCAGAGGCGAAGGCGGCUUCCUGGACAAUUGCUGACGCUCAGGCACGAAAGCGUGGGGAGCAAAAGGG
rnacentral:rRNA from 1 species